AUUUGGAAAGGCCGCGUAAAAGUCACUAGUAGUGAAAAUGGGAAGUUUUCCGAUCGGUAUUACGCUUGACACAGUUUUGCCACCCAAAUGCAGGAUAAUUUGUCUCCCCCGGUGAGGGAACCUGGCAGACUGGGAAUCUCCAAAGAAGUGAGGCUGAUGACAUAGCUAUAUUUGGUGUGACUGCGUUCAAUAAAAUUUUAGGACUGGCCCAUUCUCACCUGUGAAGUACGUGAAAGUCCAGAGUAUGCUGCUGUCAAACAAACCUAUAUACAGACCAAGUGACUGAACUUGCCACUGAUGACAACAGUUCUAAUACCUCUGGAUUCACUCCUUCCUGUUAUUCAUUCAUAUAACUGCCAUUUUGUGCUGUUGGUAUCAGUUCAAAUCAUGAACUCUGUCUGUAAAGACUGUUUGUUUUACUUUUUUGCAUACUUGUUUCAAGUAUACAGGGUUAUUGUGGGGCAACCCCAAAUCUUUACUGUGUUCUGUCUCUGCUUAUUUUUCAAGAUUAA